rnacentral:rRNA from 1 species
CCUAUAAACUUUCGAUGGUACUUUCUGCGCCUACCACGGUGACCAUGGGUAACGGGGAAUCCGGGUUCGAUUCUG